UUUCCUUCAGAAUUACUUUGGAAUGCAUUUUCAUUUCUGCCUAAACUUUGAGAAGCACAGACAUUCUUCAAAAUCUAUCUUCUUCAUUUGCCGGAGCAGACACUGCUCGUUUAUGGUCCUGGGAAGGAAGACGUGACACCUCAGUCCAUCACUUUUGUUAUUCUUGAUUGCGGCCCCAGUGGAUGUUACAACACCACCCCUAACACAUCCUUGGAAAUGCUGUCACAUUUGGCAUGGCUGGGGACAGGAGAGGAAAUGCUGGGAUGGAUACCUGGAGGAGAGUCUGGGGUUCUUCUUGGAGGGAAGCUCAGUCAUAUCUGGAUGGGAAGUGGAACUGCGGCAGCCAUGUAGAUGGCAUCAACAGUGAGGAAGUGCUGUGUUUCACCACUCCCUGUUCCUACGUGCCCCAUCUGCACCAGCGGCCAGUCUUGGGAGCUGCAAGAAGGAUGGGGAAAGCCCAAUCCAGGGCUGAUUCCAGAGUCUGAAUGCAGUGGCUGCAAGACCAAGGUGCACCAUUCUGCUGGAAUUUGAAACCAGAGGGAGAAGGAAGAAAAUUACCACUUACUACGACCUGGUGGAUGAUGGUGACUUCUUCAGGCCCCACGUCAUUCAUUCCUUACUUCCCAACGGCCCCCUGCUGCAGGUGGCACCCUACCAUUUACAGGCACAGACUGCCACUCAGAGAGAGCAAGUAGCUGGCCGAGGGUAGCACAGCGGGCCAGAGACAAAGCAGGAAUUCCGCCAAGCCCAUUGCCUAAACCCCAGUGAGGAAAGCCAGGAACUGGAACUCCAUUUACAGAUGGAGAAAAGGGGACUCAUUUCUUCCUGCCCCAGCCCUGGAUGGGGGAAGACCCUCUUCCUGCACCCCCCCCCCCUUGCCUCUCCUUAUGAGAGUCCAGCCAGGG